GAUGAACGCUGGCGGCGUGCCUAACACAUGCAAGUCGAGCGAAGCACUUACUUUAGCUUUCUUCGGAAUGACGAAGUUUGUGACUGAGCGGCGGACGGGUGAGUAACGCGUGGGCAACCUGCCCUGUACAGGGGGAUUACAGUUAGAAAUGACUGCUAAUACCGCAUAAGCCCACAGCUUCGCAUGAAGCGGUGGGUAAAAUUCCGGUGGUACAGGAUGGGCCCGCGUCUGAUUAGCUAGUUGGUAAGGUAACGGCUUACCAAGGCGACGAUCAGUAGCCGACCUGAGAGGGUGACCAGCCACAUUGGGACUGAGACACGGCCCAGACUCCUACGGGAGGCAGCAGUGGGGAAUAUUGCACAAUGGGGGAAACCCUGAUGCAGCGACGCCGCGUGAGCGAUGAAGUAUUUCGGUAUGUAAAGCUCUAUCAGCAGGGAAGAAAGUGACAGUACCUGAAUAAGAAGCCCCGGCUAACUACGUG
rnacentral:rRNA from 1 species